rnacentral:tRNA from 1 species
GCGCCAGUGAUCUAGUGGCUACAGCUGGUUAGUCUUUAACUAGCUGCCGUGAAUGAUAGGGCCUUGCCAAGGCUCUUACCCGAGUUCAAAUCUCGGCUGGCGCA